UGGGGACUAAACAAGGCCUAUACAAACUUUACUACCACAACAACAGGUUUUGCAGUUUGAUCCUCGUCUUUGGUAUAGUUCGUUCUUUCUUUUUUUUUUCUCUUUAUUUCCCUCGGGAUGGAAUCAUAUUUUCGUUGGCGAAGUUGAUAAAAUUUUUAAAAUGUCUACUUUAUACCGUCUUUUCCUUUCUUUUUGUUCACUCAUUUGACAAAUAGUUGACACUUCCGUUAUCUAAACUUUGAAGCGAACUAUUCAAAAACUAAAGAAAACAACCUAUGCACCUAGGUAGAGAAUGAGACAAAGUAAGCGUGUGGAAACAACAUUGAUCCCCACGGAAAAGUUGCUCCUACAAAUGAUUAUGCGAAUGACACGCUAACAAUGAUCCCCAAUGGAUCACUCCAGCAUGCAAGUGAAAACGCUAUGGCUACACCAUAUUUCUAUCUUGAUCUCCUGUGUGGAACAAAGGAAUAGAAAACGCAAGAAUAGGAGAAAAUGAAGGAAUGGGAAAAGAAUUCAGAUGCAAAAGAGGAUAGGAAAAAAAUUUCAAGAAAAAUGUUUGGAAUCUAGGAAUAUAAC
rnacentral:lncRNA from 1 species